UACAGAGGUCUCAAGCGUUGUUCGGAUUCAUUGGGCGUAAAGGGUGCGUAGGCGGCGCGGUAAGUCGGGUGUGAAAUCUUGGAGCUUAACUCCGAAACUGCAUUCGAUACUGCCGUGCUUGAGGACUGGAGAGGAGACUGGAAUUUACGGUGUAGCGGUGAAAUGCGUAGAUAUCGGGAGGAACACCUGUGGCGAAAGCGGCUCACUGGACCAUUACUGACGCUGAUGCUCGAAGGCUAGGGGAGCAAACAGG
rnacentral:rRNA from 1 species